rnacentral:rRNA from 1 species
GACGUAGGGCGCGAGCGUUGUCCGGAUUUAUUGGGCGUAAAGAGCUCGUAGGCGGUUUGUCGCGUCUGCCGUGAAAGUCCGGGGCUCAACUCCGGAUCUGCGGUGGGUACGGGCAGACUAGAGUGAUGUAGGGGAGACUGGAAUUCCUGGUGUAGCGGUGAAAUGCGCAGAUAUCGGGAGGAACACCAGCGGCGAAGGCGGCGCUCUGGGCCGGUACUGACACUGAGGAGCGAAAGCGUGGGUAGCAAACAGG